rnacentral:lncRNA from 1 species
AGUCUUCUACUAGCAGCCUCUGGAUGAAGAUGUAGAACACUCAGCACCUCUUGCACCAUGCCUGCCUGGAUGCCUUAAUUGCUCCCACCUUGUUGGUAAUGGACUGAACCUCUGAAUUUAGCACAAUGGAAGAAUAGAUGGUCAGACACCCUGCCACACCUUGGAUAUACUGCUUCUGUUGGCACUUCAAGACUAUAAGCUUGACACACAAGAAGCCUUUUAGGGAAGAGAACUGACGUGUAUGCUCAUGUUGAAAGCAACCCUGUGAAUUGGAUCCGAAGAAAGCUGGUGGCAGCUCUCCUCUCCCAUCUGUCCUCUCUGAGAUGUAAGAAUGGGAGCUCUCCUUACCGCAGGCCAGUUCUUCCUUUCUACCUGGCUACACCGGUGCCCUGGCAUGCGUCUGCUCUGCUGCCCUCUGCUUUAAGUUUCUGAGUAAAGAUUUUCAGAAACAAAGGACUCUGCAUCAGCCUUAUCCACCAACCAAUGAAUCAGAGUCAUGUAGAACAUAUAAUGCCUGAAUGAGUCCCAUCCCAGAUCUACUGCAUAAGAAUCUCUUCCAUCCAACUAGCAACCAGGCCCAGGCCUGUUUAGUCUCCGAAGUCAGAUGAGAUGGAGUCCGGUCUGCGGUUUGAUGAAACACUGGAGUCAGAAUCUUUGGAGGAGGGGUCAGGGGAGGGAGUGUGCAGCCUGCAGUCGUUAGAGCAAAGAGUUUAGUGAGCCUUCUUCUGUCCAUUAGCUCUUCAGAGCCACUGUUGUAUCAACUGUAGACAUUUGAGAUGCCAGCUGAAGGGGGAAAGCCUGCAUCAACUGCAUUAGUUGACAGGACUUAUGCUGGGCCAGUGCAUUCAGACCUUUAUGCGAAGCAAGGCCAGGGUGUUGGCUUCAGUGUUGGUCGGUGGCUUAAUGGCUCUGCCAGUUACUUCCUACUUUGCACAGUCAUUUGUUUUCAAUUGGGGCCGCAGCCCCAAAUGUAAAAGUAUAUGCUUGAGUGUAGCAUCUCCUUUACUUAUUAAACCUUUUAUUAAACCACAA